AAAAAACAAUUUCUCUGUGUUGGCUUCAAUUGGACCAACUUUCUUUCUUGCGUUUGCCAUGUUUGGGUUUGUGAUGCAAAUUGGAUCUUUGGUGGUAGAGAAGGAACUCAAACUUCGCCAGGCAAUGAGUAUGACAGGUCUUUAUGAAUCUGCUUAUUGGUUCUCUUGGAUCACAUGGGAAGGAAUACUUUCACUCGUAUCAUCACUUCUCCUUGUUCUUUUUGGAAUGAUGUUUCAGUUUGACAUGUUCAAGAAAAACAAUUUUGCAGUUGUGUUUCUUGUGUUCUAUCUUUUUCAGCUCAAUAUGGUUGGUUUUGCGUUUUUGUUGUCAAACUUCAUUAGCAAGUCAUCUUCAGCCACAACAGUCGGUUUCUCCGUAUUUAUUGUUGGCUUUUUU
rnacentral:misc_RNA from 1 species